AGCAGCCGCGGUAAUUCCAGCUCCAAUAGCGUAUAUUAAAGUUGUUGCAGUUAAAAAGCUCGUAGUUGAAUUUCGGGAUUGACACAUCGGUCGUGCCUUAAGGGGUAUGAACUGGUGUAGUCAAUUUCUCACCUUCUGGAGAACCGCGAUGUCCUUAAUUGGGUGCCGCGAGGAACCAGGACCUUUACUUUGAAAAAAUUAGAGUGUUUAAAGCAGGCAUUUUGCUUGAAUACAUUAGCAUGGAAUAAUAAAAUAGGACGGAUGAUUCUAUUUUGUUGGUUUCUAGGACCACCGUAAUGAUUAAUAGGGAUAGUUGGGGGCAUUAGUAUUCAAUUGUCAGAGGUGAAAUUCUUGGAUUUAUUGAAGACUAACUACUGCGAAAGCAUUUGCCAAGGAUGUUUUCAUUAAUCAAGAACGAAAGUUAGGGGAUCGAAGACGAUCAGAUACCGUCGUAGUCUUAACCAUAAACUAUGCCGACUAGGAAUCAGACGAUGUUAAUUUUUUAAUGACUCGUUUGGCACCUUACG
rnacentral:rRNA from 1 species